UCUAUUAACUUUCCACAUUCCUGUUCCGUUAGAUGCUACACUUGUCGUAAAUCCAUGAACUUUGGAAUAAACGUCAUUUUGAAUAGUUGAAAGCUCACUGGUUUAGAUUUUUUUUUCUUUUUCGUAGAAAUUCAGUUGAUUAAGUCAAUGGAUCACGUAUCUCUUUUAUGCUAAUGCUUAAAAUCCGAGAAUGAAUUUGUUCAUUUUUUUUUUCAAUAUUGUAUAUGAGUCGCGAUGAAUUAUUUUAAUUGUGUUUGGCUAUUAACGUGGCUUAAAAUAACCUAUUUAAAGAUGCUUGAAAAAAAUGUAAAGUUAACAUAAAGAAAUCAUUUGUAGCUUUAUUGAAAUUUAAUACAAGUUUAAACUAAUGAUCUAUGGCUCGUAGUUGAUGUGGGUUUGGUCAAUCAGGAACAGGCCAACAUCUGCUUGGAUGAUGCUGAAUAAGAACCCGUCUGCUUAGGUAUUUGUAGACUGUAGUGGUGGUUAAUGUUCUAUUGACAAGUGGGGUAAUGCCUUAUGAAUGAAGCAUGGGGUUCAGUUGCAGGACCCAUUAAAAAUCCUGCCAGUUAAAAGAGUCGUGCAGGAAAGAAGAUUUAGCAUCUCCGAUUGAAGUGGGAUGGAUUACUCAACUUUAUGAAGUUCAGAGUAAUGUAAGCAGUUUAGUUGCCCUUUUCUUAAUUGUACUAUAAAUUUUGCUUACCUUUGUUAGUGUUUUCAUCACUUUCUAGAAGAGAAAUCCUUUAUAUGUUAGGUGUGCAAAGGGGUUCUGUUCCUAGGUGCAAUGCACGACAUGUGAUUUUUGUCUGGUGGGCUACCAUCUGACAAGGCAAUGUUUUUCUAUGUCCAUUAACCUGCAGCUAAGUUAAGAGAAACUAAAGAAGACACUGAGUCAAGGGCAAGAGGACCUUAGACAGCAGAGCAGAACUGUAUGAUGGCAUUAAUCUUGAAUUCUUGGCCCUAACCUCACUAAGCAAGCAUGUCACAAGCUCUAGUUGUGGUAGUUUGCAACUUCCUCUUAUUCAUUUAAGGAAUUUUUUCGUUUUGAUAUGAAUCCGAUGGUGUCAUUGCUUACUUAUGCCUAAAUGCAUAAGUUGCACUAUGGCAGGGUAAAAGUAAAUGUGUGGUUUCCCAUGGUUCAAGUCAUUUUGUGGAACCAACCACUGCAGGAAGGUUAAUUCUUCCAGUCUUACAAAGAAGUAUCAGUAGAACGGUUCUAAACUCUUUUGGAAAUUAUGGGUUGGAGGAAAGCAAAUACAAGUCAAUAGCAGCCAUUGAAAUAAUGUUGACAGAGUCCCACUCCCACACUGUAGUAAGUCUGCUACAAUACUUUGGCAAUGGCAGGUCAACUUGAUGUAUAAAGUUGACUUGAGCUUGGUCUCUUGCAUUUUAAUUGUUCCCUUUUAAUAAUG